AUUGAACGCUGGCGGCAUGCCUUACACAUGCAAGUCGAACGGCAGCACGGGAGCAAUCCUGGUGGCGAGUGGCGAACGGGUGAGUAAUAUAUCGGAACGUGCCCAGUCGUGGGGAUAACGUAGCGAAAGCUACGCUAAUACCGCAUACGAUCUAUGGAUGAAAGCGGGGGAUCGCAAGACCUCGCGCGAUUGGAGCGGCCGAUAUCAGAUUAGGUAGUUGGUGAGGUAAGGAACUCACCAAGCCGACGAUCUGUAGCUGGUCUGAGAGGACGACCAGCCACACUGGGACUGAGACAGGCCCAGACUCCUACGGAGGCAGCAGUGGGGAAUAUUGGACAAUGGCGCAAGCCUGAUCCAGCCAUGCCGCGUGAGUGAUGAAGGCCCUAGGGUUGUAAA
rnacentral:rRNA from 1 species